GUCUUCCCUCGCGCGUAGAGAGUGACUCGAAGGACCCCCUCUCCUCUUCGCUGCAGCCCCUCCCCAUGCACGCUGGGAGACUCUUGGAGGGGAUAAGGUUUCGGGCCAAAAAGCUGAAAUAAAGAACGAAGUCAAUAAUAAUAUGAAGUGUAUGAGAAAUAGCUGGAAAAUUCAUCAUCCAUGACUUGAAGAAAUUGACGUUUUACAAGUUAUAUUUUCGGUGAAGAGGCACUUUCAAGAUCCUUCUCUGAGACCUGCACCAAUAAGACUAUACCAAUGUUCAGUUGAAACAUCAGACACUGUUCUGGUUAUGAUGGACACCACAGUGAAAGAGACCUGGUCCCUGCCUUGAGGAAACCCAACUGCUGGUAGAGAGCUCAGAGUAAUGAUUAGGAUGCAAUAUGAGGGAUGCAGUAAUUGGGAUCUACUUCUGGGAACCGUCACAGCCUGAGAAAGAUGGCA
rnacentral:lncRNA from 10 species